rnacentral:lncRNA from 1 species
AAAUAUUCGUGACUCAUCUAAACUAAUUCCACAUCAUGUUUAAGGAAUUGAAAGAGAAACCAGUUAAAUUUGCCGCGAGAAGCUCAUCAAAAAACAUCAAACUUUUUUGUCUUGCGAGACUCAUGAUAUCACUUUUAUUCCAGUGAUACACGGUUAGAUCAUAUAAUUCUUCUCUUCCAGUCCUUUAACAUGAUGAAAUUUCAGCGAAACCACAACUAGCUACAAUGCACUCAAGCUGUUCGAUGAAAUUCCAAAUUGGUGGUGGAGACGUUGUUCCUGCGUUAAAAUUUGAGGCUUUUAUUUCAACUGCUACAAGCUCAUAUUUCCAAAAGGAUUCAUGUAAACUCGAUCAUCUUCAACUCUUCCAUGUUAAAUUUCAUUCCUUCCAAUUCCAACUUUCUAAAAUCACAACAUAUUAUUAUCUUCUAAGGCAGAGAUGUCAAACUAUUGACAUUUUGUCCACUGUUAGAUUUCAGAUUAUUGUCGUAAUCCAUCUUUGAACUUCUUUCAGAUUCCCUUUGUUGCUAAUAAGAAGUAAUGAUGAUUUGAAUUUUGUUCAGCCUUUCAGUAAUGACCGAUUGAUUUGUGAAUUAGCUCAGUUUUUCAAAUGUAUCUCUUAUGAUUGUCUUGCUUAGUGACUUGAGCGCUCGUCAUGUUGCGUCUAGAAUGAUUGAUAUUCUUAUUGGUCUUUUUAUUAUGCAAUAUUUAUGUUUGCAUUACUGCCGUCAGUUACAUUCUAUUAGAACAAAGAUUAUAUGCCUGAGGUUUUCAUUAUCAUGGAUUUUGUGUUUUCCAUUUCUCUUAUGUUCCUUAAUCAAACUUUACUUGUAGGCCACAUAUAUUUGGUUUGGAGAAACAAAUUUAAGAUCAAUAAAACAGACUUCUACACCUCCAAGAGAUGAUUAACACUCUAGCUUCUAAAAAAUUAAG